CAAUUGAAUGCUAUUAUAGUUUGGAUAUUUGACCCUCCAACCAGCAUGUUGAAAUUUGAUCCACAAUGUUGGAGGUGGGGCCUAAUUGGAGGUGUUUGGAUCAUGGUGGUGGAUACUUCAUGAAUGGCUUGCUACUGUCCUCCUGGAAAUUAGUCAAGGGCCAUUGACUUCCAGACUUUCUUGAUGGAGUUCCACUGCAGCUCUGGCUUAAUUUUCUUCUUCUAUGGCCAGGAAUCCUCCUAGAUGAUGAGAUAGAUGCCAUUUUCUGUGCUCAGCAGCUCUUACCUGGACUUCUCUUCCAGAUGCAGUAGCCAUGAAGAGACGUGCCUUGCUCCACCUUCACCUUCGACCAUAAUUUGUGAGAAUGCAGCAACAAGGUGCCAGCUAUGAAGCAAAGAGCCCUUACCAGACAAUGAAUCUACUGACAACUUGAUCUUGGACUCUUCAGCUUCCCAAACUGGUUACCAACUAUAUCACAUAAUGGUCCUAAGGAUUAAAUGAAAAAAAAUGCAGUAAGAUAAAGCUGAUUUAUCAAGGUUGGGGAAAUGCAAUAAAGAAAGAGGUUAAUAAUUCACAGAGCCAGCUGAAUAGAAUACCAGAGUUUUAUUUCUACACAAAUCAGUCUCCCAGUACAGAUGCAAGUGAGAUGAGAUAGUUCCCUUGACCCCUUCACAGAACUUGUAAAUGGGUAGCUUGCUUACUCAGUCCACAGUGCUCAAACCCCUUGAGAGUGGGGGGAUCACACAGGUGAGUGAGUGGGUGCAGGAGCCAGGGCAAGGGCCUUUGGGCGCCGGCAGAAACAAACCCCAU